AAUGCCUAGGAAUCUGCCUGGUAGUGGGGGAUAACGCUCGGAAACGGACGCUAAUACCGCAUACGUCCUACGGGAGAAAGCAGGGGACCUUCGGGCCUUGCGCUAUCAGAUGAGCCUAGGUCGGAUUAGCUAGUUGGUGAGGUAAUGGCUCACCAAGGCGACGAUCCGUAACUGGUCUGAGAGGAUGAUCAGUCACACUGGAACUGAGACACGGUCCAGACUCCUACGGGAGGCAGCAGUGGGGAAUAUUGGACAAUGGGCGAAAGCCUGAUCCAGCCAUGCCGCGUGUGUGAAGAAGGUCUUCGGAUUGUAAAGCACUUUAAGUUGGGAGGAAGGGCAGUUACCUAAUACGUGAUUGUUUUGACGUUACCGACAGAAUAAGCACCGGCUAACUCUGUGCCAGCAGCCGCGGUAAUACAGAGGGUGCAAGCGUUAAUCGGAAUUACUGGGCGUAAAGCGCGCGUAGGUGGUUUGUUAAGUUGGAUGUGAAAUCCCCGGGCUCAACCUGGGAACUGCAUUCAAAACUGACUGACUAGAGUAUGGUAGAGGGUGGUGGAAUUUCCUGUGUAGCGGUGAAAUGCGUAGAUAUAGGAAGGA
rnacentral:rRNA from 1 species